rnacentral:rRNA from 1 species
GUACCGUGAGGGAAAGGCGAAAAGAACCCCGGCGAGGGGAGUGAAAAAGAACCUGAAACCGUGUACGUACAAGCAGUGGGAGCACAGAGCAAUCUGUGUGACUGCGUACCUUUUGUAUAAUGGGUCAGCGACUUAUAUUCUGUAGCAAGGUUAACCGAAUAGGGGAGCCGAAGGGAAACCGAGUCUUAACUGGGCGUUAAGUUGCAGGGUAUAGACCCGAAACCCGGUGAUCUAGCCAUGGGCAGGUUGAAGGUUGGGUAACACUAACUGGAGGACCGAACCGACUAAUGUUGAAAAAUUAGCGGAUGACUUGUGGCUGGGGGUGAAAGGCCAAUCAAACCGGGAGAUAGCUGGUUCUCCCCGAAAGCUAUUUAGGUAGCGCCUCGUGAAUUCAUCUCCGGGGGUAGAGCACUGUUUCGGCAAGGGGGUCAUCCCGACUUACCAACCCGAUGCAAACUGCGAAUACCGGAGAAUGUUAUCACGGGAGACACACGGCGGGUGCUAACGUCCGUCGUGAAGAGGGAAACAACCCAGACCGCCAGCUAAGGUCCCAAAGUCAUGGUUAAGUGGGAAACGAUGUGGGAAGGCCCAGACAGCCAGGAUGUUGGCUUAGAAGCAGCCAUCAUUUAAAGAAAGCGUAAUAGCUCACUGGUCGAGUCGGCCUGCGCGGAAGAUGUAACGGGGCUAAACCAUGCACCGAAGCUGCGGCAGCGACACUGUGUGUUGUUGGGUAGGGGAGCGUUCUGUAAGCCUGUGAAGGUGUGCUGUGAGGCAUGCUGGAGGUAUCAGAAGUGCGAAUGCUGACAUAAGUAACGAUAAAGCGGGUGAAAAGCCCGCUCGCCGGAAGACCAAGGGUUCCUGUCCAACGUUAAUCGGGGCAGGGUGAGUCGACCCCUAAGGCGAGGCCGAAAGGCGUAGUCGAUGGGAAACAGGUUAAUAUUCCUGUACUUGGUGUUACUGCGAAGGGGGGACGGAGAAGGCUAUGUUGGCCGGGCGACGGUUGUCCCGGUUUAAGCGUGUAGGCUGGUUUUCCAGGCAAAUCCGGAAAAUCAAGGCUGAGGCGUGAUGACGAGGCACUACGGUGCUGAAGCAACAAAUGCCCUGCUUCCAGGAAAAGCCUCUAAGCAUCAGGUAACAUCAAAUCGUACCCCAAACCGACACAGGUGGUCAGGUAGAGAAUACCAAGGCGCUUGAGAGAACUCGGGUGAAGGAACUAGGCAAAAUGGUGCCGUAACUUCGGGAGAAGGCACGCUGAUAUGUAGGUGAAGUCCCUCGCGGAUGGAGCUGAAAUCAGUCGAAGAUACCAGCUGGCUGCAACUGUUUAUUAAAAACACAGCACUGUGCAAACACGAAAGUGGACGUAUACGGUGUGACGCCUGCCCGGUGCCGGAAGGUUAAUUGAUGGGGUCAGCGCAAGCGAAGCUCUUGAUCGAAGCCCCGGUAAACGGCGGCCGUAACUAUAACGGUCCUAAGGUAGCGAAAUUCCUUGUCGGGUAAGUUCCGACCUGCACGAAUGGCGUAAUGAUGGCCAGGCUGUCUCCACCCGAGACUCAGUGAAAUUGAACUCGCUGUGAAGAUGCAGUGUACCCGCGGCAAGACGGAAAGACCCCGUGAACCUUUACUAUAGCUUGACACUGAACAUUGAGCCUUGAUGUGUAGGAUAGGUGGGAGGCUUUGAAGUGUGGACGCCAGUCUGCAUGGAGCCGACCUUGAAAUACCACCCUUUAAUGUUUGAUGUUCUAACGUGGACCCGUGAUCCGGGUUGCGGACAGUGUCUGGUGGGUAGUUUGACUGGGGCGGUCUCCUCCUAAAGAGUAACGGAGGAGCACGAAGGUUGGCUAAUCCUGGUCGGACAUCAGGAGGUUAGUGCAAUGGCAUAAGCCAGCUUGACUGCGAGCGUGACGGCGCGAGCAGGUGCGAAAGCAGGUCAUAGUGAUCCGGUGGUUCUGAAUGGAAGGGCCAUCGCUCAACGGAUAAAAGGUACUCCGGGGAUAACAGGCUGAUACCGCCCAAGAGUUCAUAUCGACGGCGGUGUUUGGCACCUCGAUGUCGGCUCAUCACAUCCUGGGGCUGAAGUAGGUCCCAAGGGUAUGGCUGUUCGCCAUUUAAAGUGGUACGCGAGCUGGGUUUAGAACGUCGUGAGACAGUUCGGUCCCUAUCUGCCGUGGGCGCUGGAGAACUGAGGGGGGCUGCUCCUAGUACGAGAGGACCGGAGUGGACGCAUCACUGGUGUUCGGGUUGUCAUGCCAAUGGCACUGCCCGGUAGCUAAAUGCGGAAGAGAUAAGUGCUGAAAGCAUCUAAGCACGAAACUUGCCCCGAGAUGAGUUCUCCCUGACCCUUUAAGGGUCCUGAAGGAACGUUGAAGACGACGACGUUGAUAGGCCGGGUGUGUAAGCGCAGCGAUGCGUUGAGCUAACCGGUACUAAUGAACCGUGAGGCUUAACCUUACAACGCCGAAGGUGUUU